rnacentral:sRNA from 1 species
GCUGGGUGUGGUGGCACAUGCCUAUAAUCUCAGCUACUCAGGAGGCUGAGGCAGGAGGAUUGCAAGUUCGAGGCCUGGGAAACUUAUUAAGACCCUGUCUCAA